GCUGGCCAGGGCCCUCGACGGAGGAGAGCCUGCUCGGAGCCCCGGCCCGCUCUCCAGCCUAACGGUUUCCACAGCGCCUGCUCCCGGGGUGGGACGGGGCUGGACUGCUCGGCGUCCGCCACCUUCCUGGAGCUUCAUUGACACCAGGUCUUAACUGGUGUCUGGAGAAGUUUGAGGGAUUCUCCAGUUGUGUCUUCCUCUGUACAGACUAUCUACAGUUACAAGGUUGGUUGGCUGAAGUGACAGCAGGAUUUUUGAGCAUUUGAUACCUACA